GAAGGCCGGGCCCCAGGCUCCAGAGGCUGCCGUCAGGGAACCCUGCUCCUCAUUCUGCCCAACGGCCCAGCCCAAGCCCCAGGCCUCAGGGUAGGAAGCAUCCCAUUCUCUCAGCUCUGAGGAAGGAUUCUGGUGUCCAGAGUUGGCUGACCUGGCUGGCGGUCUCCACUGAUAGAACCAUCAGUCCGAUUACCACGGUUACGGCGGCGGCGGCUGCGAUUACGACGUUGAGGUCUUGAUUCAUCUUCUGUAGGGCAGGAAAAAACCAGAGUCACACAUCUAACCUCUCACCCUCGAUUCCUACCCAUGUCUAACUUUCCAGACUCCAGGCACACCCUCACCCAGGCCAUUCUCUGUCAUGUUGGGCCCAUCUGAUUCCAGGCCUCCAUCCAUGACGGUCCUGUCUUCAUCAGUGCGGCGGCGGCGGGAGCGGCGGCGCCUGGCACUUGCUGGGGGGGGUUCCCCAGGUUCUGAAUCAACCGGGGGCUCUGGUUCAGAUGUGUCCAAUAGGCUGUAGGGAUUACUGUCUGGAUCCUUCAGCACUGGUCAGAGGAAGAAGAGGAGAAGGUGGCAUUCAGGUGCCCAUCAUCUUUUGUUUUGGCCCAUAUUCAUGAACCCAGCUGUCUGGUACCUGAGCUAAUAGAUGAAGAAUUAUAUCUCGAAGUGGGCCGGGGGGCAGGUGGGGGUCCCCUACCCCGGCCCCCAAUCGGCCGCCUCCGGCUUUCUUCCCCUCGGGUUGGGGGAUCCCUGUCGCCAGGCCCAGCUCGGUUGGGUUCCUCUCUCUUCUCUGACUCAGUCUCUGAAGCUGUAGACACAUCUGAGCUGGGGCCUGAAGAACACAGUGGGAUUUAUUCACGGCCAUUCGUCCUACCUCAGGAUCCAUCACAUUCCCCAAAAUGGAAGAAUUCUCCCUCUCACUCACAAGUCCCCCAGCCAAUCAAUCACUUCUUUAUCAUCUCCAUCCCAGAUUUCCCCAAACUUCCAUCCAGACCUCUGCCUCUACCCACAAGCCCUGCCACUCCCUGCCUCCUGUUCCCAAGCUGUCUCACCAUAGGCAGGACCGCCUGUCCUCCGGCCACGGCCACGGCCCCCAUAGCUGCCCCCAUAGGUUCGAGUCGCAUGGAGGGAGGAGGAGGAGCUCUCAUCGGUGCUAUAUCCAGCCUUGUCACUGCCACCGCUGCCCCGCCCGCUCCCAGGAGGGCGAAAGCCCAGCCCAAUCUGCCGAAGCUGCUCAUCAAUUUGCAACCUCUCCAAGCGAAGCUGCUCUACCUCCUGGUUGGGUAAAAGACGGAAGAAGAAGCGAAAGGAGAAACAAGAUCAGUGCCUUUCUUCAUGCUUCUCCACCCUGACUGUCCCUCUAUAUCUAAUCUCUUAGGAAUGCAAGGAGAAGGAAGACGCUGGCUAAACAAGGAAAAUUCUGGGACCCAACCCUAUAGCCCCAAAUUUCCACAAAUGUUUUCUGUUCUACAUGGAGAGACAAACAGAGCACCAAAAUUCCUGAGUUGACCCCCACAGCAGUCUUAGUUCAAACCCUUUCCACACCCAGCUCUGUCCUCUCCCAGCCUGGGUACCUGCAGGUAGGAAAGGUGAUACUCCAGCAAAGCCUGGGCAUUGCUGAUGUUCUCUCGGGUGCCAACAAAAAUGAAGGGAACCAUUCCCUGGAGAGCAGAGAGCAGAGACGAUGGAUCAGAAAGGAAAAUGAAAUGGAAGGAUUAACCCCGCCCAGUGUCCUAGGGGAACCUGCCCAGUGGGAUCAUUCUGGACUCUAAAUCUACUAGGGUUAAACAAGUUUCCGUACUCCACCCUCUCAAAGGACAAUCCCAGCCCUAAGAGGACAAUCCCAUUUACUUCUGGAAACCAAUCUCUAUGCCCACUUGCCCCGUACCCAUACCUCCUCCCUGGGGUUCUUCUUGUCAUUAUCCCCUUCCACUCGAACCCUCACCACACCAGAUUUAUCCACAAUCUCCUGGAUCACUUUCCCGUUCUUUCCAAUCACUUUGCCUGGAAUAAGUAAAGGAGGAAUUAAGCCUUUUUUUUUUUUUUUUUUUUUUUUUUUUUUUAGGAAAUAAGAAUAAAGCUGAUAAACCGUC